CCUACGGGAGGCAGCAGUGAGGAAUAUUGGACAAUGGGUGAGAGCCUGAUCCAGCCAUCCCGCGUGAAGGAAGACGGUUCUAUGGAUUGUAAACUUCUUUUAUACAGGGAUAAACCUACCCUCGUGAGGGUAGCUGAAGGUACUGUAUGAAUAAGCACCGGCUAACUCCGUGCCAGCAGCCGCGGUAAUACGGAGGGUGCAAGCGUUAUCCGGAUUUAUUGGGUUUAAAGGGUCCGUAGGCGGGCUGAUAAGUCAGUGGUGAAAUCCUGCAGCUUAACUGUAGAACUGCCAUUGAUACUGUUAGUCUUGAGUAUAUUUGAAGUAGCUGGAAUAAGUAGUGUAGCGGUGAAAUGCAUAGAUAUUACUUAGAACACCAAUUGCGAAGGCAGGUUACUAAGAUAUAACUGACGC
rnacentral:rRNA from 1 species